rnacentral:rRNA from 1 species
AGUGAACGCUGGCGGUAGGCCUAACACAUGCAAGUCGAACGGCAGCACAGUAAGAGCUUGCUCUUACGGGUGGCGAGUGGCGGACGGGUGAGGAAUACAUCGGAAUCUACUUUUUCGUGGGGAUAACGUAGGGAAACUUACGCUAAUACCGCAUACGACCUACGGGUGAAAGCAGGGGAUCUUCGGACCUUGCGCGAUUGAAUGAGCCGAUGUCGGAUUAGCUAGUUGGCGGGGUAAAGGCCCACCAAGGCGACGAACCGUAGCUGGUCUGAGAGGAUGAUCAGCCACACUGGAACUGAGACACGGUCCAGACUCCUACGGGAGGCAGCAGUGGGGAAUAUUGGACAAUGGGCGCAAGCCUGAUCCAGCCAUACCGCGUGGGUGAAGAAGGCCUUCGGGUUGUAAAGCCCUUUUGUUGGGAAAGAAAAGCAGCAGGUUAAUACCCCGCUGUUCUGACGGUACCCAAAGAAUAAGCACCGGCUAACUUCGUG